rnacentral:sRNA from 1 species
CAGCAUAACAUUGCAACAUGUUUCCCCUCCUUUCAGCCCCUGCGUCAGCAGAGUGAUUCAGGUUGAACCUCAGGCCUACACCGACACACACGACAAUACCCGCUACAGCCCCCCACCCCCCUACAGCAGCCACAGCUUUGCCCACGAAACGCAGAUUACCAUGCAGUCCACUGUCCAGCUCCGCACGGAGUACGACCCCCACACGCACGUGUACUACACCACCGCUGAGCCGCGCUCCGAGAUCUCUGUGCAGCCCGUCACCGUGACACAGGACACCCUCAGCUGCCAGAGCCCAGAGAGCACCAGCUCCACAAGGGACCUGCUCUCCCAGUUCUCCGACUCCAGCCUCCACUGCCUCGAGCCCCCCUGUACGAAGUGGACACUCUCAUCUUUUGCUGAGAAGCACUAUGCUCCUUUCCUCUUGAAACCAAAAGCCAAGGUAGUGGUGAUCUUCCUUUUUCUGGGCUUGCUGGGGGUCAGCCUUUAUGGGACCACCCGAGUGAGAGACGGGCUGGACCUUACGGACAUUGUACCUCGGGAAACCAGAGAAUAUGACUUUAUUGCUGCACAAUUCAAAU